GGAUCCCAGCUGAUACAUGCAUGUGCAGUGCAGUGAGCUGUGUUGACGAGCUGAGACCAUAGCAACGCUGUCGCGACGGCCAGCUCGAGCGGCUUGAUGUGUGGUAAACAAUGGGCAUCAUGCGGGCAAAACUUCGCUUCAAUCGCCGGCGCGGCCUAGCUGUGUACAUUUGUAAAGUUGUUGAGAACAAGACAUCGACAAUCAGCAGAAACAGUCCAAUUUACUGAAAGUAGUAGGCCAUAAGGAAGAAAAUGAAGCACACAAUCGGAUAGAAAGAACUCUUGCCACUUCGCUGAGCUGACGGACCAUAAAUUUGAGUGAAAUCGAGGAUCAUAAUUUUUGACAAGACAAAUUUACGCAAGAAACAAAACUCGGACUCGGAGUCUCUGAGCAAUAUUUGCCGCGCUGGUGGGUGUGUUUUUUGGUGCCUGCUUUACCUUGAGUCGUUGAGAAUAAGUUAAUCAACAUGUAUGAUCGGGCCCCAAGAGUUCUUACUGAAGGAGCACAGGCAACUGGACCUUUUGUUGGACCAGGUGCUUAUGAUGCAUUUCAACCAACCCGUGCCAAGAUCAAAUCAGAUGGCUACGCUCCAUUUUCCUCCAUGACACCCAGGGAGACCUUCCUUACAGUUCAAGAUGCUGUCAUCGCAGCACCAGGUCCAGGGCACUAUGACCCAACGGAAGCACAACUCAGAAUCACCGGAGGCCGUACACUUGCCAAUACGGCAAAGAGGUUCGAAGAGGACACUUCCACAUCAGUGCUAACUCCAGGACCAGGAACUUACAACCUCUCUAAGUCCAAAGAUUGGCUAAAGCAAAAUACUAAUAAAGAAAAGGAGAUAGUACAAGGACAGCUGAUGACAAAUCGUAUCAAGUACUCAAGGAAAGCACAAGCGCCCUCUAUUCCUACUCCUGGCCAGGCCUACGGUUACGAAGAAUCCGAGGACGGAGUACUCAAGAAACAGGAAGCACCAGCCAGAGAUAAAACAUUGGGACCCGCCUUUUACAAUGUCGCAAAUGGUAACACUAAAGCAACGGCCAAGUACAAGGGAGUUCAUUUUGGGAACCUGACCUCGUCAAGGAUGGACUUCCGGGGCAACGUAGGACCUGGUCCUGGUGAAUAUGAUCCCUUCAGCAAACCAGAGCCGGAUGUAGAGAACAUCAAUGCAGCCAUCACUAAGAGUGGGACCAGUGCCUUCGAGGCUCGGAUACCAAGAUACCAUGAAGCGAUCGUUCAAGGAGAAGGAAAGAAGGCUGUACCUGGCCCGGGUAAAUACACCAUUAACAGUCAGUUUGACAAAAGACCACCAGCAGUCAACACAGAAGGCCUGGAGGUUGAACACCCGCCGUUCCUCUCACAAGCAAAGAGAUUCCAAGAAAAGAAGAACAUUGUCCCCGCCCCCGGUUCCUACAAUGACCCUCGCCAUGCCCUCGAGGCCACCAAGAAACUCAGGGGUCUAAAGAGAAGCCCGUUUGGUCAAACAUCGGUGAGAUUCGUCCCAGAGCCCCACAUCAAGAAAACUCCAGGUCCUGGAUCAUAUAGCUUCCCUGGCAUUGCCGACAGUAGCAUGAGGAAGGCGUACAUCGAGAGCACGCGGAGGGGAGCUUUCGGGUCCACGUCGGUCAGGAUCAAACCAAUCACCAAGCGCCAGGACUCCUCCCAGCCAGGCCCCUCCCAUUACCAGCCAAAGGAAACCCCCCAGUACAGCAGAUACACCUCAAACCUCUCUGCUAACUUUGCCUCGCAGAGCAACAGGUUGACUUCGCCGGCCCCGGUCACGAUACAGGACAACCCCCCUCCUGGGUCGUAUGAAGUGAGAUCGUCACAUGACUUGUCCCAGGGCAAGAAAGAUCCCGCCCCGCCCCGAACGCACGCUGGCAAGAGAAAGAAGGGCUCCUUCCUGUCGUCUACUCGUCGUUUUGCCCCGCCUCGCGACGUCAUCAUUGAGAAACCAGAGCCUGCUAAUCCAGGACCUGGAACUUACAACCCAGCAGCAAAGGAUACAGUCAAACUCAGUCUUCUUGUCGGAAAGGACGACCGUUUCAGAGAAUUCAGAAAGAACGAGAACCCUGGUCCGGGAACUUAUGAGUUGAGUCCUCUCUUACAAGACACUGUACUGAAGGGUACCUUCAAUGCAACCCUCAACAACCCCAUCGCACCGCAGCUGGAACUCCACCGAUCACAAUCGCAGCCUAUGAGCCAACAGGCCUUCGUACUUGGAGUAUAGGACCAUCUCCUUCCUUGCCAACACCACAGCCUACAGGUGCAUUUUGCAGCAGAUCUUGCUGCCUAUGCCGGAAAAGAACUUUUUGUUGCUGUUUUUUCAAAGAACUGUGCCUUGUGUUGGAAAAUACAUGUAUCUUCAUGUUGCCAUUAUCCAUGGAGUGGCAAAGUCAUUUACAUCAUAUGCAGUUUCGGCCAUGUUGGCAUCCACAGCUGCUAAGUUGCUUUUAUGUUGGUAUCACUUGUGUUUCAUUUGAAAUAAAGAAAGGAAAAAAAUUGUAAAUCUUCUGGAAACUUGUUGGAAUGGGUUGAUGAUGCCAUUACUCGGUUUACUUUAUAUUAAAAUAAAGGUGCGAUUGGGUGGAGGAUUGGAAGAAGGGAUUCAAUCUCUCUUGUGGCAAAAUGUAGAAAGAUUCUUGCCAUCUGUCAAGAGCAUCAUGGUGCGGAUUCACUUCAGAAUCUUGUCAAUGACCUCCUACCUUAUUUUAAAGCUAAGGUUCAAAAUGUGUGUUAAAACAUCUCAGAAAAUGAAAUGCAAGUCCCAAAUGCAUGCUUGUGAUUGGUCAAGAACAUCAAGUUAUGAUUUAUUUUUUGAUUUGUUUUUGAUCGCAACCAUUUUUGCAACAGGCCCUUGCAUACAGAGCAAUCAGGUUGAAUAUUAGGAAGCAGUUUGUUGACUCGAGCUAAAGUGUGUUGAUUAAGAAAGUAGAGAUUGACAUAAAGUCAUGUACAAGCUUCCCCCUCCCUAUUGCAUCAUAUGUGAAAUGGCAUUUUACCCUUUCUCGCUCCAAAUUUGAAUAUGCAAUUUCAGAAUUUAUUGAGGGGAAUAUUAGAAUUAAUCUUUGUUGAUCGUUCCCAUGUGGCAGAUGUGAAAUUUUCUUGAGGAAAAGUUCAAAAUUUCUGACUUGUUUAAUAGUAAAAAGCAAGAUGAAAAAAAUUUAAUUAGAUGCUUUUUUCCAGCAGUCUUUAAAUGCAAAAAUUGCAUUGUGGUUAAUUUACUGUUUUCUCAUAUCAAAGUGUGCCGUCCUAUUCUAAUUCCAUCUAUAAAAGCCGUCCAAUAUUCUGAUUCUCAUAUUUACAGACUAUCCAGAAUAUGACCUUUAUUUUAGCCUUUUUACUUUACACUUUUAUAAAUCAUUUUAUACAAUUAUUACACAAUUUUGAUACCGUCCAUUCUUACCUGCCUCAAGUAUUUGAUACAAAACUUCCAUUGCGCAAAAUAUUUCAUGGUAGAAUGGAAAAUGUAUAGCAAAAUUGCAAUCAGUAUUAUAUUUUGUAUUUUUUGUCAAUAUACCACAAUGUAUGCAUGUCACAAGGUGCAUAUAUACUUACAUGUACUUUGUGCCAUCAGCACUCUGCAGAGUAUAUAUGGCACAUAAUUAUGAAUCAUAUCUACUACUACUACUAUUAUUAUUAUUAUUAUUACAUGCAGAUCAUAUAUGUAGAAAUAAUAACUCAACACACAAUUUUGACUAUAUUGAACGGUAAAAAUUGUAUUGUUGCUUUCUUGUUAUGCAUUUACAAAUUAAAGAGCCAGGACCCGUGAAACAAUAAGCGUUAAUCUAAUUUUAAUGUAUUCCAUAGACAAUUUUUCAGUUUGAUUGAUCAUUGUCAUAGUAACAAAAUUGACAUAACUAUAUUGCUAAAUACAUGUACUUUGGCGUUCUGGCCUAAACCUGUAGUAGACCUUAUGCAUUGACGUUAUCGUGCUGCCAUCUAGAGGCAUAAGCCCUUGCCUUACAUGCAUUAGUAUCUGUAGCUGACAAUCCGUAUACGCGUAUUCCUAUAUCCUCUGAGGGAGGGCGCUAUGAGAAUAUGACGUCAUCAGGUCUAUACAGUUAAAGUUUGAGCCAUGCGCUCUGGGUCACGUCGAUUGGAUGGUAAUGUCAAAGUUCAUUCUCAAAUCAUAUCUGAUUGUUACACAUCAGUAAAACCCAAACACACAUUCUGUGUGCUUUUUCUGAUAGUUAUAUUAUUUUAUUGAUAUAGUGUGUAAGCAAUAGGGUCAGAUCUAUGACUUGGACUGCAUGAAUUUAUUAUUAAUAACAAAAUUAAUAAUUAAAGUAACAGAUAUUUAAGUUUGAGACUUGAAAAAUCCAAUUUCUUGCAACAGGAGCCAUCAUGUAUAUGUACGCUUGUGUAUAAUGUAUUCUUGAAAGCAAUCCCUGUGGAAUAUAUUUGAUGUAUUAAAUAAUUUACAAUUUUCAAUCAUUUUGUACAUAAAGAAGAAAUAUAUUAUAAAUAUUAUGUGAACAAUCA
rnacentral:misc_RNA from 1 species